rnacentral:rRNA from 1 species
GGGGGGGGGGGGGGGGGGGCCGGGGGGGGGGGGGGCGGGGGGGCGGGGGGUGAGCUUGCUGCGGUUGUGUUGGCGGCGGCGGGGUUGGGCACACGUGGCUAACCUGCCUGUGAGACUGGGAUAGCUUCGGGACACCGGCGCUGAUCCCUGGUGGUCUUUUUCACCGCGUGGUUCAACAGUGAACGACGGUCUUGCUGUCGCUUCUCGCUGGAUCCGCGUUGCAUUAAGUCGUUGGUACGGUACCGGCUUACCAAGGCAACGCUGCAUAGCCGACCUGAGAGGGGGAUCGGCCACACUGGAAGUGAGACACGGUACAGACGCCUACGGGAGGCAGCAGUAGGGAAUCUUCCGCAAUGGGCGAAAGCCUGACGGAGCAACGCCGCGUGAGUGAUGAAGGUCUUCGGAUCGUAAAACUCUGUUAUUAGGGAAGAACAUAUGUGUAAGUAACUGUGCACAGCUUGACGGUACCUAAUCAGAAAGCCACGGCUAACUACGUG